GCUCCUUCGGUCUCCUGGAGUUGACGUCUCUCGCUGAGGCUGCAGGUGGUAUCACAGGAUUCCCCCGAUAACUCAAUUCCAAUCCUCAAAGCUUCAGAGGAGUGGGUUCUCCAAAUACAAAGGACAGGAUUCAGGAGUGGAAGCAGGAAGCAUGAGCUAAAUAAACUCCAGGUUUGUACAACACAUUACAGCUGUGACAGAGUGGGGAGCACUCCCACUGAAGACAGAAGUUCAUGGUUCUAGCUUCACCUCAGAGACAUGAGCACAUAAACGAAGCUUACGCUCCCAGCGCAGUACCAGGAUGGGGGAUUGCUUUUGGAGGACCCAUUAAACAGAGGCCCCAGCCACCCUCACAUGGACAUAAUAAAGAUUCCAUGGCCGGUGUUUCAAAGAAGAGCAGGAUAUCCUGCCUGGUGUGCUGAAUGAUAUUCAUCCCUCACUCAACACCACUUUAAAAGAAAAUGGACCAGCCACUUGAUCACAGUAGAGUUUGUGGAAUCUUGCUGUGCACAAAUUGGUUGACACGUUUCCUGCUUUACAACAGCGACAUUGCUUCAGAAAGCAGUCCUUGUGCUAUAAAAUGCAGUGGAAUGUUCUCAAGCACUGAAAGGCGCUAUAGAAAUGCAAGUCUUGCUUCUACCAAGUGCUAACUUACUUGAUAUGGAGAAGGUUUGAAACUCUGAGGGAUGUCCAGGAGCAAAGAAGUGAGAGAAGGGAAUUUACCAAAACUGUCUCCAUAAAGAUGAAGUUCAUCCCUUGUCUAAGACUUCCACUAAAAGUGAGGGAGCAUAAAUUUGACACAAUGUUCACGGAGUUGCUCUAGAGAAAACAAGGUUUAUACCGUACUGCAUGACAAUGGGGACAUUGAUUAACACACUUGAAAACCAAGACAUUAUAUAUAAAAACUUACUCACCAACUGUUCAACGUAUGGUGCUGUCUUCCCCAACUCCCUUGCUGUAUCACCUUCCCACACUCUGUCUCAGCUUAAUCUUCACCUUGCUGCCUGGCUGGUUUUUAAAUGACAGUUUGUUUUUGAAAGGAUACUUAAUAAAGUCCUGUGUUUGUUCUG